rnacentral:misc_RNA from 1 species
UUUCCGUAGGUGAACCUGCGGAAGGAUCAUUACAGAGUUCAUGCCCGAAAGGGUAGACCUCCCACCCUUGUGUAUUAUUACUUUGUUGCUUUGGCGAGCGCAAGCUCGACAGAGAAUACCAAAACUCUUUUUAUUAAUGUCGUCUGAGUACUAUAUAAUAGUUAAAACUUUCAACAACGGAUCUCUUGGUUCUGGCAUCGAUGAAGAACGAGC